rnacentral:rRNA from 1 species
UACGAAGGGUGCAAACGUUGCUCGGAAUUAUUGGGCGUAAAGCGCACGUAGGCGGCUUUGCAAGUCGGAUGUGAAAUCCCUCGGCUUAACCAAGGAAGUGCAUCCGAAACUGCAGAGUUUGAGUACUUAAGAGGAUCGCGGAAUUCCCGGUGUAGAGGUGAAAUUCGUAGAUAUCGGGAGGAACACCAGUGGCGAAGGCGGCGAUCUGGGAAGAUACUGACGCUGAGGUGCGAAAGCGUGGGGAGCGAACAGG